rnacentral:lncRNA from 1 species
AUUACGAAAUGAACACAGAAAAGGCAGGUCUGCAAUGCCAACAUCUAGUAUCUAUCCCAAAGACCAGGGAGAAAGGAAGGAAAGAUUCUGGUUCUGUCCUCUUCCCCAAGGCAAGGCUGGCUGCCCUACCAACAGAGGCAAAGAGAAGAGUGUGCAAGGCUGGCUGCCCUCCCAACAGAGGCAAAGAGGAGUGUGUGUUGAAAUAUCCAUUGAAUCCCUGAGACAACUGGAUCCUGGCCCAUUGAAUCAUAAACUCAGUUAUUUAGAAAAUUGUUACCUCAAAAAUGACCUAGGGGUCCUUAGAAUAAUAACACACAGAAGAAUAGCCUCAUUUUUCUGUUGGGCCCAGGAAACCAUGCCGAUUACCGACCGAGCUCUCAAUGGAAAAAUGCAGUCGGCGUGAACCACGCACGAACACAGCAGAGAAAGAAGAAAACACACACCACGAGGAACCCUAAUAGGACAAUACAUUAUAAGCCUCAUGGUACAUCCACUUGGUGUGCUGGGAGAGUCAGGAUGAGGACCUGAGAAGAACAGCAGCUUGAACCUGACUUCAUUUAACAGCCCACUGCCCUCUUGCCAAGAACCCAUCACAGACCUUCCCAGAAGAGAGGGAUGAGCCUCACCUAUGAAUAAGUCCUCAGAAACUCAAAUUUGAUUCUAAUGGAUUGUUUUCUCAGAAAGACUGAGCAUGUCCCCCCACAUCUCUGUCAUUUCCCACAGUAGUAACCUCUGCAGAUGCCACAUAGAAAACAAAACAAAACAAAAAAACAUGAGGUUGGUGGGCAGAUAGGCAGGGUAUAAACAAACAGCCUUGUAACCCAGAAGCUGUGUGAUAUACAGUAAACUUCACAACACUGAAAAGAUGUCCUAUCUGUUAAAAUGGGGUAAUAACAACUACCCGAAUGUUUAGGAAUAGAACUUCAAUAAAUGAUACAUUUUAUAGUACAGCAGAC